GGAAGCGGCAAUAACACGUUGAAUGUAUUAGUAUGGAUCAUUGGAGUUAAGCAACGUUGAGCGUGGUUAGUAUUCGGAUGGGUGAUAAUUUGGGCAAUCGCGUGCUGCUAGUU
rfam:Asian citrus Psyllid, Diaphorina citri - Florida Strain, whole genome shotgun sequence.